rnacentral:lncRNA from 1 species
CACUAUCAACCCAACCUUAUAAUUCUUGAUCUAAGAGUCAAAAAAUCAAAAACACAAACUCUUUUAUACUUUCGAAAGUAUAGCUGUUCUACAUAUAAAACUAAUAUUUGGUAUGAGUUUUAAAAGAAAUAUUAUCUAAGCACUAUUACAUACUAAAUUAUUAAAGAAUAAAAUAUAUUAAGAACUCAUUAGCAUCUAUCUAUACUACUUAUAAAAGCGUGAGUUUUGAAAUUUUUUUCUUUCCAAAAAUGUCUCUAUCUUUUUUACUAAUAUUGUCAUGUCCAGUGAAUUUCAACCACUCAUUUUAAAUAAAUCUUUAAAUAAUAAUUUAUUCUUAAAUAUAGAUCUUAAGUUUUCGCCAUUAGAUCUCAUCCAACGAAUAAAAAUAAAAGUAUCUGUCAUUUUUGUUGACAAAAAUACCCUCUAUAUCCGUUAUCUCCUAUCUACGCCCCGUUUCUCAUAUUUUUUUUUCCUACCAACCAUACGUAAAACUAAAUUUAUCUCUUAUCUAACGUAAUACCCGUCAAUCAUGCAAUACCUUCGCUAAUCACGUAAUACGUAAAAUUAAAUUUAUUUGCUGCCAACAUAUAGUAUUCAAAAUUAAAAUUUAAAUUUGUAAUGCCCGCAUAAAUUUAAUACCCGCGAAUUUGAUAAUUUGAAUUUUAAUUUAUGAUAGUAGGUUUUUCCUUAAAUAAAAUAGUAGAUUUAAUUUUGACGAGUAUUAAAAUUUGGCGCGCCAUAAAAGCGUUAAAUAUUGUUAAAAAUAUUUUAAUACCCCAAAUCAAAACUAAAUCGUUAAUUAAAUAUAAUUUUAAAUAUUUUUAACAAAAUAUUCAAUAUUUAAAUAAUGCGUCGUAAAAGCAUAGAAUAUUUUUUAAAAAAAUUAAUACCCGCCCAAUCAAAACAAAAUCGUUAAUUAAAUAUAAUUUUAAAUAUUUUUACCAAAAUAUUCAACACCAAAAUAUUCUCCGUGUUCUCAAAUAUAAAAUAUAUUUUAUCUAUUUUAAAUAAAUCUUCAAAUAAUAAUUUAUUCUCAAAUAUAGAUCUUAAGUUUUCGCCAUUGGAUCUCAUCCAACGAAUAAAAAUAAAAGUAUCUGUUAUUUUUGUUGACAAAAAUAUCCUUUUUUUCAAAUAUUUUUUUCUACCCAACAAUCAUGUAAUACGUAAAACUAAAUUUAUCUCUUAUCUAACGUCCUACCCGCCAAUCACGUAAUAUCUCCGCUAAUCACGUAAUAUGUAAAAUUAAAUUUAUUACAUAUCCAAACAUUUUCUCAAAUAUUUUUUUUCUCAAACGUAAUACCUACCAAUCUAAGUACCAAAAUUAAAUUUUAAAUUUGUAAUGCCCGCCAAAAUUUAAUACCCGCGAAUUUGAUAAUUUGAAUUUUAAUUUAAAAUAUUUCUCUUUUUAUCAUUUCACAUGAAUAAAAUUAUUAAGAACUAAUUAUUUGGAUGGAUUGAAGUAUGAAUUGAAUUAGAUUGAUUUUCUAGGACAAGAUAAUGCUAACACACAUUGGCAUGAAAAAAUUAUUAAUAACUAAUUAUUUGGAUGGAUUGAAGCAUGAAUCGAAUUAGAUUCAUACUCUAGAACAAGAUAGUGCUAUAACACACAUUGGCAUUUGGAGAGACACUAUUGUAAACAAUUCAGUUGUUGUAUAAAAAUAGUGCACUUUAAUAUCGAUAAUUAGGAUAAAUGUACUUUUUAAUAUUUUAUUUUUUUGUGGUAUUUUAAAUUUAUUUAUCAGGAUCAAUUUAGCAAAAUUUUAUAAGUAAAAUUGUGCUUAAUCCACCUAUUCCAAAAACUCAAGAAAUAAAAUUAAGCUAAAUUUUUUACUUAUAUGAAUUCUUAUUAAAUUUACAUUUUUUUUAAUUUUAUCUAUUCUGAUGAUUUACUAAUAUUUAUUUUAUUAUUUUUCUUACUUACAAUGCAAUUUGUACGGAAGGGGAACUAAUGGUGACAUUUUCAAUUAGUUUAGUGACGAAUUUUGUAUUUUUUUUUAAUGAUACCAUGAUAGAUUUUGUGUUCUUUCUUUUAUGAUAUUGUAAUUCUAUUUUUUAUUUCUAUCAUUUUAUUUUAGUAAUGAUUAAAUAUUAUUUAUCGAAUCUAUAAUAUUUAUUUAUAAAUUUUUUUUUUUAGUAUUUGUGUGACGUGCGUUGCACGUGCACUUAACUAGUACUAAUAAAAGCGUGAGUUUUGAAUUUUUUCCUCUUUCCAAAAGUAUCUCUAUCUGUUUUACUAAUAUUUUCAUGUCCAGUCAUUUUCAACCAAUCAUUUCAAAUAAUUAUUUAAAUAAUAAUUUAUUUCAAAUAUAUAUCUUAAGUUUAUGCCAUUAGAUCUUAUCCAACGAGUAAAAAUAAAAGUAUAUUUCACUUUUGUUGACAAAAAUAUUCUUAAUAUCCGUUAUCUCAUAUCUAUGUAUUUCUCAAAUAUUUUCUUUCUAUCCGUACAUAGAAUUAAAUUUAUCUCCUAUCUAACGUAAUAUCCGCCAAUCCGCCAAUCACGUAAUACGUAAAACUAAAUUUACUUCAUAUCUACGUGUUUUCUCAAAUAUUUUCUUUCUCAACCACAAAUUAUGUAAUACUCAAAAUUAAAUAAAUUUUAAAUUUUGAAUUACGCAUAAAUUAAAUCUACUAUUUAUGCUAUCUACCUGUUUUCUUAAAUAUUUCAUUUUAUAAUACCCGCCAAUCACAUAGCACUCAAAAUUAAAUUUUAAAUUUUAUUUUAAAGUUUGAAUUAAGCAUGAAUUAAAUCUACCAUCUACGCAUUUCCUCAAAUAUUUUCUUUCUAAUAUACCCACCAAUCCUUUCUCAUGCACGCCAAAAUUUAAUACCCGUCAAUCUGAUAAUUAAAUUUAAUACCCGUCAAUCUGAUAAUUUAAAUUUUAAUUCAUAAUAAUAGAUUUUCUAAGUAGAUUUAAUUUUGGGAUAUUAAAUUUUGGCGUGCCAUUUAAGCGUAGAAUAUUACUAAAAAAAUUUAAUACCCGUCCAAUCAAAUCUAAAUAGUUAAUUAAAUAUAAUUUUAAAUUUUUUUAGCAAAAUAUUCAAUAUUUAAGUAAAAUCCGUCAAAAUAUUUUACACGUUUCUCAAAUAUAGAGCAUAUCUUAAUAUUCUCGCAUAUAAUAUCUAUAAUACUCAAUCUUUAUCUUAUUAUAAUACUUAUCACACAUACAAUACAUCUUUUUUCGGUAUUUUCUCAUUCUCACCUAUAAGUAUAUUUUUUAGUAAUAUCCUUUUUCACUUUCACCUAUAUUUUUUCAAAUAUUAUCAAAUAUUUUUUUUAAUAAUAUCCUUUCUCAUUCAUUGCCGACACAUCGUCAUCAUCCUCCUCAUCGUCAUCGCCAACGGUGGCAUAUUGUUGCCUUCGCUACCUUUGCCACAGUUAAAGAGGUAUUUUCAUCCAAUCUGAAAUUUUUUUAAUGUUCUUUUAUACUAUUUUUAGCAUAUAUAUAUUUUUUUUAUUUACUCAUUUUCAUCUAUACAUUUCUCAAAUAUCUAUACAUUUCUCUCAAAUAUAAAGUAUAUAUUUUUUUGUAAUAUCCUUUUUCAUUUUUAUCUAUAUUUUUUUUAAAAUAUUCUCAAAUUUUUUUUUAGCAAUAUCCUUCUCAUUUGUCCCUGUCGCUGGCACCGACAUAUCGUCAUCGUCCUCCUUAUUAUCACUGUAAUCACCGGCGCCGGCACAUUGUCGCCUUGGCCACCUUCACCACAGUUAGAAAGGUAUUUUGAUCCCACUAGAAAUUUUCUCUUUUAUUUUUUUAAUGUGCCUUUAUAUUGUUUUACUUCUUUAAGUUUUUUUUCAUGAUUUUUUAUCUAUCAUAUUGGGAUUGGGGCUAAACUUAAGCAGGAAAAAAAAAUUGCUAUUUGAAAUUUGGAUUGCUUAGAUUAAAUAUGGGCAAGCCUGCUUAAUUUUGGCCUUUAGCAUAUUUAAAUUUCUACUUACAAUUGUGAUAAACUCUUCGGCCUAAACUAAAGAACCUACAAAAAACUAAUUGAUUUGGGCUUCAACUUAUUUAGAUUGUAAUUUGAACUUAAAAUUGUUUAGAUCUGAAAUAAAUUUAUUAGGACAAAAUAAAAUACUCCAGAAUGAAAGAUUUAAAUUGAUUUGGGUUUGGACUUGCCUAGGUGUACUAAAUUUAUCUAUACUACUUAUAAAAGAGUGAGUUUUAAAAUUUUUUUCUUUUCCAAAGUGCUAUCCCCUAUUAAUAUAAUUCCAAUCAUAUACUAACGAUAUCAUUCAUUCAACUUUUAUGAUAUAAAUCACAGCCGUACAAUUUUUAUUUUAUUUUCAAAUUAUCAUAAAAUAUAUUAAUUCUUAGUCAUUGGAUAUAAUUCUUAUAUUCAAUGGCCGACGAAUUAAAUAUCCGUCAUUUUUUUUAUCUAAAUUGUCCUCAGACAAUGCGUAUUAAAUUUAAAUUUACAAAUUUUGGAUAUCAAAUUUGAAUAAACAAUUAAAUUAUUUAAUUACGGUGAAUCAAAAUUAAAUUUCAAAUUUCAAAGUAAAUGUGAAUUAAAUUUUGACGCUUUUAGUUUAAACAAUAUACUUAAAAUUUAAAUUUAUUAGAAUUCAAAAAAUAUAUAAAAAUAAUAUAGGAUAUUGCAGAUAUUUUCUAAAAUAAUAUAACAUAUAAAUUUAUAAAUAUAAAUUUUAUUGUAAAUUUUUUUUGUAAAUUUUAAAAUUUUAAAAUUCAUACCACCAAUAACUAUUAAAAUUUAAAAUAUAAAUAUAAAUUUAAUUUAAUUGAAUGUGACGUGUAUCGCAAGUACUAUAACUAGUAACAUAAAAUGCAUCACUUUAUUUUCACUUCUUUUUAAUAUUUAUCUUAAAAAUAAUUUAUUUUUGAAAAUCGUUUUAUAUAACGUGAAUUAAAUCAUAUGUUUUAACACAAAAAAAAUAUUAAUACAAGAAUUUUUUUUUGAGUUUCAAAAGAACACAUAUUUAAACAGGUUAAAAAACUCUAUAUUUUUAAAGACAGCAUGUUGUAUAUUUAUAAUACUUACUUGCAAAUAUUACACUACUUAUGAAUAGAAAGUCGGUGACGAACUACUUUUGAUAAAAAAAAAAAAAACUCAACAACCCUUUUGGUCUUAAAACUCUCUAAGAUUCCAAUUUUUCAAACGAAAAUCUGGAUUCUAAACUCUGUUACAUCUGCCCAAAUAAAGAGAAGAGUAUUAGAGGUCGUAGUAGGAGAAGAGUAAUUAGGAGAGUCAAUAAGAGAAGAGGAAAAGAGGAGAGCUUAGCUUUUUUCUUGUUGAAGCUUCAGAACCAGGGGCGGUCGGCCGUGGUGAUCGAGAAAGGGCGAGGAGCUUCGUUGAUGGGCGGAACAAAGAAGGAGCGACAGCAGGAAGCGGAAGCUCGAAGCAGAGUUAGGCUUUGGGUCGGAGCCUCAGAUUUCCGGAGCGGAGGAAAAGGCGAACCCAAGAACCGCCGGGCUGUGGAUAGUUAGGAGACGGGCGAACCGACGCCCGCUUGCCCGCAUACAGGUGGAUUGGGCGGCCCGGCUCGCGGAUCGGGGCGAGAAGGCGGACCCAAGACUCGUCGGACUAUCGAUAGUACGGAGAAAGGCGAACCGGCGGCCGCUUACCCGACUACCAGGCAUUCUUGGACCGGACCAGCCCGCUCUGGCCCACAUUUCCAUCGAAUUCGGUCCACGAGGAAUCAGAAGCCCUUCUUGUAUUUCAAUUCUCAGUUUAGUACUAUUCAAUUUAACAAAUUGCAUUGUAGUCCAUUGUACAAGGGAAUAAAUAGACAGAUUGUAACUGAACUCGGAGAUUAUUAUGGAAAUUGAUAUUUUCUUCUACUCUCAUCUUCUUCCUUCACCUCUUCUCUGACUCAAUACCUCUUCUAUUCUUCCCUUAUCUCUCUCUUUUUUUUCAAUCCCAUCCUUUCAUUUUUAUUCUUUGAUCCCACUGCGUAUGUUUGGAUGCGGCAGUCAUUGUGAUGCUUAUUUGAUAAGACCAUCGUCCUCAACAUCGUCCUCGUCUUAGCAAAAUAUCACCAUAGACGGGUUGCGUAGAGUCAGGUACGUUACAAUUGGUAUCAAAGCAGUUUGAUCCCAGGACACUGUGUGGUGAAAUCGCUUCCUAACUCCAAUCGUAGCAUUAUCGAGUUUAAUCGCGAGUAAAUUUCUGCGCUGCCAAAUCUGAUUCGAGAUUGGGUUUGGAUAAAAGAAAUCACCACAGAAAUAACCCUAAAUCGAAUCACGAUUAGAGGACACCCCCUUAAUCCUCAGAUCCAUAGUAUCCCAUUGGGCAAUAACUUAACCAAUAGGAUCAGCCCUCCGGAAACCAUCAUAAGGCAACCAAUCAUUCAAACCAAGAUUCAUUUCUUGCGAAAAAUA